rnacentral:rRNA from 1 species
ACGGGAAGAGCCCAAACCAACAAGCUUGCUUGUUGGGGUUGUAGGACACUCUAUACGGAGUUACAAAGGACGACAUUAGACGAAUCAUCUGGAAAGAUGAAUCAAAGAAGGUAAUAAUCCUGUAGUCGAAAAUGUUGUCUCUCUUGAGUGGAUCCUGAGUACGACGGAGCACGUGAAAUUCCGUCGGAAUCUGGGAGGACCAUCUCCUAAGGCUAAAUACUCUCUAGUGACCGAUAGUGAACCAGUACCGUGAGGGAAAGGUGAAAAGCACCCCGGAAGGGGAGUGAAAUAGAACCUGAAACCGUGUGCUUACAAGUAGUCAGAGCCCGUUAAUGGGUGAUGGCGUGCCUUUUGUAGAAUGAACCGGCGAGUUACGAUUUGAUGCAAGGUUAAGCAGUAAAUGUGGAGCCGUAGCGAAAGCGAGUCUGAAUAGGGCGUUUAGUAUUUGGUCGUAGACCCGAAACCAGGUGAUCUACCCUUGGUCAGGUUGAAGUUCAGGUAACACUGAAUGGAGGACCGAACCGACUUACGUUGAAAAGUGAGCGGAUGAACUGAGGGUAGCGGAGAAAUUCCAAUCGAACCUGGAGAUAGCUGGUUCUCUCCGAAAUAGCUUUAGGGCUAGCCUCAAGUGAUGAUUAUUGGAGGUAGAGCACUGUUUGGAC